UCGAAUAUGUCAAAUCCACAGUACCCCCGGAAGGCCCGCAAAUCACACCCACAGGGAUUGUUGGGUUUUCAAACAGUCCGGCCGAUUAAACGCCGAACACAAGGGGCUCGACGCGUCAAGCGAAGAAGAUAAACCCCGCCAGCAGGGCACCGGAAAACAAAAGACUUUCCCACAAGGGGUCAAAGCAGUAAACUCACUUCAUGUGAUAACACGGAAAAAUAGUGCGGCACUUUCUAAAAAGAGCUUCGCACGGUCCAACCCAGCAGACCAUAGAGAUUGGAUAUCCAAACCAAUCACUUUCGACCACCUGGACUAUUCCAGAAGCGUUUGAAACGCGGGACGGACUCCCCUGAUAUUGAAUCCCAUAAUAGACGGAUUACAAUUCACUAACGUCCUAAUGGACGGAGGCAGUGACUUAAACCUGCUAUGUUCAAACACAAUCCGUAGGAUGGGGAUAGACCCUACCAAAAUUCGACAUAGCCGCACUUCCUUCAAAGGAGUGACGCCAGGCCCUUACGCCAAGUGCACAGGCUCGAUACUACUAGAAGUCGUGUUCGGAUCACCGAACAAUCUUCGACGCGAAAAAUUAAUUUUUCAUAUCGUCCCAUUUGAAAGUGAACAUCAAGCACUCUUGGGACGAAAGGCUUUUGUCCGCUUCAACGCCAUACCGCAUUACGCGUCUCUUACACUCAAGAUGCCCGGUCCACAUGGCGUCAUUUCAGCGCGAGGGUCACUCGAGGACCCCGGACUCGGAUAGACGAAUCCGGACUCAGCAGGCUAGGGGUUACCUAGCCGCAUACCCCUUCACAGGGGGCUGCGCGCACAAACCACCGCGGUUUCACAUAAACCUCACUUUAAUUAUUUAUAUUUCUUCUUUUAAAUAUUUUUCGCACGAACGGUUUCUAAAACUAAACGUUCCUCUCUUUCUACAGAUGAACAACGUGCGUACCCGUCCAGGAUAACGGCGCAACGAAGACACAGGCGCAGACGUGCAGUAGGGACCCGUUGCAAGGAUUCUUUUUAGAUUAAGACCCUGCGUAGACCUUUUUAUUACUGUCUCUUGUUGUUACUCUCCCUUGGUUUCUUCCUAUAGCCAAAGCGGAGCCUGACGCGUUGGCAUCGGCCGCGUCAGAGGACCAUGCCCGUACCCGGACACUAGGGGCUUAGGGCAUCUUUCUGCCCAUUAUUAUAAAGUCCGAACACCUUCGGGAGUGUUCGGCGUCUCGAGUUAGGCAUUAUAUGCAUCAGCUCCGAAUCAUGUCUUUGGUCAAAUGUUGGGUUUGCCCGGCUCCUGUGUUUUGCUGCCUUACGUUCCGUAUCAUCGGCUAACGCGGCACCAGGAGAACUACUGCGAUUGUGCACCAGUUCGGCUGGGCGAGCACCUCAGUAGAGAAAGCCGAAAACUGACUGUCAUGAUACAGCGAGAGUCUGGUCAGCCACUCGAUCGACCAUCGGAAUGUUUAGAAUUCCCUGCUUUGACGAAGGACCGUUUCCCGGUCAGGCACAUAUGCACCCCGAAUCCGGAGAUGUGCGGUGCCACCAGGGGCUAUAUCGUAGCCCCACCCUCGAGCUCCAUUGGCUAAGUGAAAGAGAUAAAGCAUUAUAGUCCGGAUUGCCUCGUUCGCUACGCUACCACCUCCUUAUAACAGGACCGAGACGUCAGAUUAAGUUUGAAAACGCGCUACUUUGCGAACACCCCAGCACCUUGUGCGAGUGGGCUGAAGCCGAAGACUGCAUCUUUCAGGUUAUACACAAGUAUACGUAAACGGCCGCACAGGAGAAGUUUUACUACUUGGACGCACAAGUAUAAAAAGCAGUCAUACCAUAAUCAUUGAUUUACAAGCUAAUGCGUUCAUUUGAACGUUACAUUCUUUGAGCACUGCGCCCCUAUUUUACGAGCACCUCGCAUGACUUCUCCGAAGUAGUGCUCGGCAGGGAGCUGGUUUCCUUCCGGACCCUGGGUGGCAACGGCGGUGGCAUCCAUCUCCGGAUAAUGCACCUUUACACGGGCAAGAGCCAUCCGCGCGCCCUCGAUGCAGGUCGACCGCUUCAUAUCCUUUAUAUGCGGCACCGCUCCAAGGAAUUGCUGCAGUAAGCCGAAGUAGCUCGUCGCCUUGGACCUCCCUGGCCAGACAUGGGCCACGAUGUUAGACAUGGCAAGUCCGGACAAUCUGUUUAGCUCAGCCCAUUCGGCCAACCAGUCCGUCAACGGAAGGGAGCGAUCCGGACUGUGGAAUUGAGACCAAUACAGCUCUUCCGUCUCGUGAUCCCCCUGGCUCCGGAAGUGCUUCACGGCAUCAGCCGCGCUUGCAGCUAAGUCCAUAUACGGAUCCUCCGGACUCCACAGCCGCUCAAAUUGAGCAUACUUCGCAUCCAUAAACCGGCGACACAGCAGAAUAGGCUUGCCAGCCACGAUCUCUCCAGCCUGGCGCAGCUCCUCCUUCAUAGCCCGCAUGGCAGAGCGGGCAUCCUUGGCUUCGGCGGUGGCCUUCUUCAGGUCUUCCCGCUCCGAUAAGCGCUCCUUUUCAAGAGCCUCAUUACGGUCGGUAACAUCCUUUAAUUUCCUGGCCAAUUCGGCCACCUCCGCCCUGCUUAGGCAGUGCGCAGCCUUUUCGGCUUUCAACUCUUCGGCUGCCUUCGAGGCAGCCGCGUCACUCCUUCGGGCCUGCUCCUUAGCUCGAGCAAGUUCGGCCCGGAGGCUCUCCACAGCAGCAGCACUGUCUGUACAAUAGCAUACAAUUUAUCAGAGGAGGGCUUCGACCCCUUUAAAUAAAGCGGCUGCGGAGAAUUUAUUUACCUUGCGACUCGUCAAGUCGCCGGUUGACAAGUGCGAUGUCAGCAUCUGCCACGUCAAGUUGCCGACUUAAUUCGGCAAACUCAUUAGUCCGGCUGGCCCCCGGACUAUCCGCCACCUGUAUCAGGACGACGGUAUUCAUUACUUGAGACUUUGAGAUUUUGAUCCUCGGCACGCUGUCGUUUCCGACAACCCACCGAGUCUCAGGGGCUACUAUCUAUACAGUGCGCAUUUUUAUGUACAAUACUGUUAAAAUACAAAAGGAUGCGUCAUUUCUGCAUACCUCAAAACCCGCCAGCAAACUCACGGCGGCAUUACGCAAUCUGCUCUCGGCGGACGAAAUCCUUCCUAUCACCAUACGCAUUAACGCACGGUGAUCUUCUGAAAUGGACGCCCUCUCAAGCAUAUUCUUCAGUUCUCCCGGUCGGACACUAGUAGGUGCCGAACUCCCCGGUCCCUCCGGGCUCGGGGAUACCCUCCGUGAUGACACUUCGGGUUCGCCUGCCUCGUUUGGCGGCACUGCGGAUGGAGGCGUAUCGCUCUCCAUCAUCUCCGGAAGAAGGUCCCCCGAAGACGAACUCAUCUGAGAAGACUGCAGAUCCGAACUGCAAUGUAAAUAUUUCGGUUACCUACAGAAGCACAAAUGAAGGUAUUUCCUCACUAAUUAACUCCCUCUUUUACACUCACGGCUCGUUGGAGGGCUGGUCCUUCGGCGAUGAUUGUGCGUCCGUAUUCUCUCCGGACGCCGGACCCCCCGGUGAGGAUUUCUUCCCACGCUUAGGGGCUUUGGCCUCCGGAUCUUCGGAGGCGGUCCUCUUCUCCCCCUGAAAGGAGGGGCUCUUGGUUCCUCCCCCUUCAGUUGCCCCUUUGGGCAAAAUAUUUGCUCCCUUAUCUUCCCCGUCGCCCUCUUCUAUGGGCGCAACCUCCAACAUUCUGACCAGCACGGGCUCCAGUGCGGUCUCUGGGAGGGGGGCCGGACACCUUAUCAGCCUUGAUCGCGCCACCCAUUCCUGUAAAGAACAAAGGGUCAGGAGGCGAAUUCUAGAAAGGCACGCACACAGAAUGUCCGGGCUCUGAGCUAUUUACCUGAGUAUCCGGGCGAUCGCGGCUUAGACCUGCAUCCUCGGCUAAAUCCGGACAAGCCACCUGCGGUCCGAAGAACAACUUGUACAUCUCCACGGGUGUCGCACCCAUGAAGUGUUGGAGAAUUCGAGGUCCCUCCGGAUUGAACUCCCAUAAACGGAGAGGACGGCGUUUGCAGGGCAGGAGAUGCCUGACUAGCAUGACCUGCAUCACCUUGAUCAGGUCAAUCUCCCUCGCUUGGAGAUCUCAAAUCCGGCCCUGCAGUGAGGGCACGUCUUCGGACGACCCCCAACUGAGCCCUUGGUUGACCCACGGCAUCAGUUGGCGUGGAGGUCCCGGGCGGAAGGAGGGCGGCGGCUUUUGCUUGCUGCCUGAGGGAGUCCUGGACUAGGGGGUGUCCGGACAGCCGGACUAUCAAUAUCCGCCGGACUCCCAGACUACGAAGAUACAAGAUUGAAGACUCCGGCUCGUGUCCAGAUGGUACUUUCCUUGGCGUGGAAGGCAAGCUUGGCGAUACGGAUAUGUAGAUCUCCUACCAUUGUAACCGACUCUGUGUAACCCUAGCCCUCUCCGGUGUCUAUAUAAACCGGAGGGCCUUAGUCCGUAGGACGAACAUACAUCUCAACAAUCAUACCAUAGGCUAGCUUCUAGGGUUUAGCCUCCUUGAUCUCGUGGUAGAUCUACUCUUGUACUACCCAUAUCAUCAAUAUUAAUCAAGAAGGACGUAGGGUUUUACCUCCCUCGAGAGGGCCUGAACCUGGGUAAAAACAUUGUGUCCCUCGUCUCUUGUUACCAUCCGCCUAGACGCACAGUUCGGGACCCCCUACCCGAGAUCCGCCGGUUUUGACACCGACAUUGGUGCUUUCAUUGAGAGUUCCUCUGUGUCGUCGCUGAUAGGCCUGAUGGCGUCUUCAACCAGCAACGCUGUCCAAGGUGAGACUUUUCUCCCCGGGCAGAUCUUCGUAUUCGGCGGCUUUGCACUGCGAGCCAAUUCUCUUGGCCGUCUGGAGCAGAUCGAAAGCUACGCCCCUGGCCGUCAGGUCAGAUUCGGAAGCUUAGACUUCACGGCCGAUGACCGCGGAGACUUGAUCUUCGACGGACUCGAGCCACAGCCAAGCGUGCCGCACUGUGACGAUGGGCACGAUCUAGCUCUGCCGCCGGACAAUGCCUUGGUGGCCGCACUCGGAUCCGCUUCGGCCAUUAUCCCGGAGCCGAUCGCCCAGAUCGAGGGUCGGUGGAUAGACGCCGCCUCGGGGGCUUCAACAUCCACGGCGAUGGAGCCAAACAUCAAUCUUGUCCCUUGCGAAACUCGUGAAUCUGAGGUGCCGGACUCCUCGCUGGACUUCGAACCUCCCGCGCCCCUACCGGUCGGUCCGGAUUGGGCGCCGGUUAUGGAAUUCACCGCCACGGACAUAUUCCAACACUCGCCUUUCGGCGAUAUCCUAAACUCAUUAAAGCAUCUCUCGUUAUCGGGAGAGUCCUGGCCGGACUAUGGCCAGGAUGGUUGGAGUACGAACGACGAAGAAAUUCAGAGCCCACCCACCACCCACUUUGUAGCCACUGUCGAGGAUUUAACCGACAUGCUAGACUACGACUCCGAAGACAUCGACGCUAUGGACGACGAUGCUGGAGGCAAACAAGAACCAGCGCCUACAGGGCACUGGAAGGCCACCUCAUCAUAUGACAUAUACAUGUUGGAUACCCCAAAAGAAGGGGAUGGCGAAGAAGCAGUGGAGGCAGACUCUUUAAAGAAGGAGCCCAAACGCCGGCGUCAGCGGCGCCGCUCUAAAUCCCACCAAAGCAAGAAUAAAGAUUCCAGCACAGGAAAUAACAAUACACCAGAGAGUGCCGAAGACAAUCCCAUCCAGCAAGACUCAGCGCAGGAGGAUGCAGAAGCAAGCCCCCAGGAGAGGGCAGCAGACGAAGAGGUUGAGGGUCAUAACUAUAUGCCUCCCUCCGAAGACGAAGCAAGCCUCAAUGACGACGAACUCGUCGUGCCCAAGGACCCCGUCGAACAAGAGCGUUUUAAGCGCAGGCUCAUCGCUACAGCAAGAAGCCUGAAGAAGGAAAAGCGGAAGCUCAAAACAGCGGAAGACACGCUCAGAAUAAGAUGGAGCAAAGUACUCAAGACCGAAGAUAAAUACGGUAAUGGCCACCAAUCGAAGAGCUACCCGAAGCGUAAGCUGCUACCAGAAUUCGACGAGGAGGCCAUAGAGCCUCCACCGUCCAAUGGCCCAGCCAGGUCCAUCUACGGACCCAAAAAGAAAGCCCCAGGAAGCAAAGCAACACGUCAAGUGUCCGAUGAUAGCGGCACAUACAAGUAUAGGGGCGCCGCACACCCACUAUGUUUCACCGAUGAGGUGCUGGAUCAUGAAUUCUCAGCAGGGUUUAAACCCAUAAACAUAGAGGCCUACGAUGGAACAACAGACCCUGGAGUCUGGAUAGAAGAUUAUAUACUGCAUAUACAUAUGGCCAGAGGAGACGAUCUCCACGCCAUAAAAUAUCUACCCCUCAAACUCAAAGGGCCAGCCCGUCAUUGGCUCAAAAGCCUCCCAGAAAACACUGUUGGAAGUUGGGAAGAGCUCGAGGAAGCGUUUAGAGCAAACUUUCAAGGAACUUAUGUCCGUCCUCCGGAUGCAGAUGAUUUAAGUCAUAUAACUCAACAGCCCGGAGAGUCAGCGCGGAAAUUCUGGAACAGGUUUCUUACCAAAAAGAACCAAAUAGUCGACUGUCCGGACGCCGAAGCCUUAGCAGCUUUCAAGCACAAUGUCCGAGACGAAUGGCUUGCCAGGCACCUCGGUCAAGAGAAACCGAGGACAAUGACCGCAUUAACAAGCCUGAUGACCCGCUUCUGUGCGGGAGAGGAUAGCUGGCUAGCAAGAAGCAGCACCAGCGACCCAAGUACAUCCGAGAUAAGAGAUGGAAACGGAAAAUCACGGCGCAGAAAAGAGCAGCGCCGGAAUAAAGAGAAAAGCCCAAAGAGCACGGCAGUCAACGCCGGAUUCAAAAGCUCGCGGUCCAAUAACAAAACUCAGCCCCUCAAGGACGACAGUGACGAACUGUCCAACCUACACGAAAUUCUGGGUCGAAUAUGUCAAAUCCACAGUACCCCCGGAAGGCCCGCAAAUCACACCCACAGGGAUUGUUGGGUUUUCAAACAGUCCGGCCGAUUAAACGCCGAACACAAGGGGCUCGACGCGUCAAGCGAAGAAGAUAAACCCUGCCAGCAAGGCACCGGAAAACAAAAGACUUUCCCACAAGGGGUCAAAGCAGUAAACUCACUUCAUGUGAUAACACGGAAAAAUAGUGCGGCACUUUCUAAAAAGAGCUUCGCACGGUCCAACCCAGCAGACCAUAGAGAUUGGAUAUCCAAACCAAUCACUUUCGACCACCUGAACUAUUCUAGAAGCAUUCGAAACGCGGGACGGACUCCCCUGAUAUUGAAUCCCAUAAUAGACGGAUUACAAUUCACUAACGUCCUAAUGGACGGAGGCAGUGACUUAAACCUGCUAUAUUCAAACACAAUCCGUAGGAUGGGGAUAGACCCUACCAAAAUUCGACAUAGCCGCACUUCCUUCAAAGGAGUGACGCCAGGCCCUUACGCCAAGUGCACAGGC
rnacentral:lncRNA from 1 species